UACGGGGGGGCAAGCGUUGUUCGGAAUUACUGGGCGUAAAGGGCUCGUAGGCGGCCAACUAAGUCAGACGUGAAAUCCCUCGGCUUAACCGGGGAACUGCAUCUGAUACUGGAUGGCUUGAGUUCGGGAGAGGGAUGCGGAAUUCCAGGUGUAGCGGUGAAAUGCGUAGAUAUCUGGAGGAACACCGGUGGCGAAGGCGGCAUCCUGGACCGAGAUUGACGCUGAGGCGCGAAAGCCAGGGGAGCAAACGGG
rnacentral:rRNA from 1 species